rnacentral:rRNA from 1 species
UACGUAGGUGGCGAGCGUUAUCCGGAUUUACUGGGUGUAAAGGGCGUGUAGGCGGGUUUGCAAGUCGGGUGUGAAAGAUCCAGGCUUAACUUGGAGAGGUCAUCCGAAACUGCAGAUCUUGAGUGCUGGAGAGGAUAGUGGAAUUCCUGGUGUAGCGGUAAAAUGCGUAGAUAUCAGGAGGAACACCAGUGGCGAAGGCGGCUCUCUGGACUGUAACUGACGCUCAUGCGCGAAAGCUGGGGUAGCGAACCGGAUUAGAUA